CAUUUUUAACAUUUCACUAAUUGUAAGUAUCUUUAUCGACAGAUUGCGUCAGAGCUCCUGAUUAUAUCCAAUUAGUGGUGAAGUUAUCGAAGACAAAUGCAACUAUGCCACAAUGUUCUUCGAAAUAAAUUGCGAAAUCCUGCAAUCGCUCGACAAAGAUUAAGAAAUGAAAUCUCUGAAGAGGCUUUCGCUGUAAGUCAACUUUGCAACCGGGAGUAAUUGAAGAUAUCCUAUCAGGAGGCUCUUACACAGCAUCAGAUUUCACUUUCCUUCUAUGCGAUUCAUGGAAAGAUAGAAAGAGACCUGGUCGAAUGGGCAGGGUCUAGUUGUAACGCGAACGUGAAAGUAAGAUUCCACUGCACCAGCUUGUGCUUACCUUUGUACACACUGGAGAACCCGUUUCGGGAUUUUUACACGUUCCAACGGGCAAACAGGCGAGCCACGGAAACUAUUAGAAAACUUUCACCAUUGGCCGUGACCUCGAUACCAGCCACGUUUCGGCGAUGACGUGCUGCAAAGGCUCGAUAAGGAAUUUAUGCAAUUUUGAAGAAUAACACUUUGGAAGAAUUGAAAGAAUCGAUGAUGCAGAUCAAGUCGUUUGCGGAUCCAACACUGUACAAUCAAGCAUCAUUCAAAGCGAUGGAACGUGAGCGACAUGCAAACGGUGGCGUACAAGUAUUAGGCUGUUUGGAGAGGAUUGAAUAAUGUUUUGAAUGCAGUGUAAUCGCCCCGUGACUGGAAUCUUGACGGAAAACUCGUGCGAAAGAAACUUUAUAUAGAAUGAAAGGCGAGGGUCUUUUAUACGAUCUUAACGAGCCGAACCGGUCAAAUAGCUUGCCACCUGCUCGUUAAACCGUUUAUUGGUCAUACUCGAAGGAUUACGGCGCUGCGAAGGAUGCUCAUCGAGAAAGAUUUACCCUGACCCACUUCCGGUCAAGUUCAUUGCUCAUCCACGGCAGGCUGGCCUUACCUUGCACGACUACCAUACUCCGGCUCUUCCUGAUUCUUUCUCUUGCUCUCUAUUCAUAACUUCAUCUUGUGAAUCCUGACGCCUACGCUUUAGCUAAACAGACGAUUCCGACGAUGGCCGCCUGUAAAGAAAGAAAAUCGAGGUUUCAUAAAGUGCAUCGUGACACGAACGGAAACGAGCAAGCAGGAAGGAUUGCGGCAAUUGAUGAAGGACCUUUCCGUGGUUUACGACACCAGACUCGUCUGACGGUUGCGCAAUUUUCAUUGAACCACCAUGGGAUAAUCCAGACUUUUCGUGGCAGGAACGAACGUACAGGAUGUUGAAGAAAAUAUGAUGAAUCAACAGUGUCUUGAACUUUGUUGAAUGUAAAGGAGCUGUGCGCAUUGAUCUCGGUUAUCUAGGCCUGUCGAGCUACCAGUAUCUUUCCCUUUCACUGCUACCAUGCAGAAAAAUCUGCUAGAACUCUGCACGUAUACUUGCGUUCGCUUUUUCGACGUGUACACGUUCACGUUGCUCGGUUUAAUAUGGUCACGUGUGCACGUUCAUGGCUGUAGAAACGAGAAUGACAAAAUCUUCCAGACGAAAGGAAUGAAUCUCAUUUCGUUGCUUCUCGCUUUGAAGCAACAGCGUAUAAGAAAAAGGAAGGAUUCCUUUUAAACUUUACGAUCGCCACGUUUAUUGACCGUCUGGAUUCAAAUGAAACCGAGCAGCUUUCUUCUAAAGUAUUGGAAAUUUAAUUUACAGCUGAAGCUCAUGGGUGCAACGCGAUGCACCUGACAAAUUACAAAACGCACGAGACAAUGGGGAAGACGACGCAUUAUCUCUCCGGGGUCUUAUUUAGCACACGAGGAGGACGGAGGGAGAUGAUUUUCAACGCAUCAAACAUCGGCUCAAGUACGUGGGAGAAGAGGAGGAGGCCCCAGGUGUAAUCAUCAGCAUGCCGUGUAUCCGGGCAUUGAAUUCGAGGAUUCUCCUCGCCCUCCUUCGUGGAUCCUCUUCAUUGUGCAUACUUCUCCUCCGAGAAGUUGAUCUUUCGCAACAUCACCCGGCAGGACCAAGAGAAUCCAAUCAUCAGGGAAAAAAUGUGCGCAUCCUGACAAAACGAUCGGAAGUGUAAUCGAUUCUGAAGAGAUGAAGAUUGAUGUUUUGA